CAAUAGCGUAUAUUAAAGUUGUUGCAGUUAAAAAGCUCGUAGUUGGAUUUCUGGGCUCAGUCUUUGGUCCGUCGAAAGAUGUGCACUGACGACUGGGUCCUUUCCUCUCGACGUUCACGGGUGCUCUUAACUGAGUGUUCGUGGGACUCGGGACCUUUACUUUGAAAAAAUUAGAGUGUUCAAAGCAGGCCUACGCUCUGAAUACAUUAGCAUGGAAUAACACGAUAGGACUCUGGCCUAUCUUGUUGGUCUGUAGGACCGGAGUAAUGAUUAAGAGGGACAGUCGGGGGCAUUCGUAUUUCAUUGUCAGAGGUGAAAUUCUUGGAUUUAUGAAAGACGAACUACUGCGAAAGCAUUUGCCAAGGAUGUUUUCAUUAA
rnacentral:rRNA from 1 species